rfam:Ruminococcus sp. CAG:177 genomic scaffold, scf105
UUGACGGGUUUGGGAGAGAGCCGGAUUUCCGGCCACCGAAGGGGCGAAACUCUCAGGUAAAAGAACCGAGCCGGGACG